rnacentral:misc_RNA from 1 species
GCGAAAACGACGGAACAAAAAACAAAGACCGGGAGCUAUAAAGAAGAAGAAGACGUCCGAUUCGAAGAGCUGUAUGAGCGACAUUUCAGACCCAAACAUGGCUUCUAUCUCGUGCGAGACAAAAAUCAAACAAAUAAAACCGAUAACCGAAAAGCUAUGAAACGAAACCCUACUGUUGUCGCCCUUGUUGCGCUUCUCCAAAUCACAUACAAGUUGACCUCAACUCCGUUCCGUUUGGCUUUGCCCUAAGAAAGGAAACGGCCCGGAUACACGUUUAUUUUCUUUGGUUUCGCAGUUCUUUUGGCACAAAGUCUGAAUGGGCGGGGGGCUUGAGAGAGGGACGAAAAAAGGAGGCUCGCCAUUGUCGUGCUGCUCAUUUUUGCGUGUCGGACUAUCGAUACUCAAACAGCAACAAAACCCUGUAAAUACCGUUGGCAAAACUGGUGAUUGCUUCUUCCAACCCCUUCUUUCGUGCCCUCGCUCUGUGAAACAUUUCCCCCAACCAUUGAGGGAUCAACACUCGGUUGCUUUUGGUUUCGGUGUACUCUUGGUGCACUGUAGAGUAUCGCACUUCAAGGGUCGGGUCUCCACAGGUGAACACGUACGAUGGACUAGCUAGAGCUACAGUACCGAAACCUCUACAAGUGACCAAACACGUGGAGUUGCUGGCAACGAUGGGAAAGUCCAAAUGCGAUGGUCACGUGUGAUUUUCCAUGCUUUUUCGGCUCAAGUUUCCCUGUUUUUGGCCGUCGUUUCGCGCAGGUUGUCUACAGGUUUUCCUCCAGGUUUCGAGACUCGCCAAAGAUUGCUGGAGAGACCGAAAAAGGGGAGGAGCAGCCAAAGAUAUGAAAAAUAGAAUUCAAUAAGGGAGAAACAAAGACCAUGAUAUGAAAU